rfam:Triticum aestivum genome assembly, contig: Triticum_aestivum_CS42_TGACv1_scaffold_321879_4BL
CAUAUGCUCCCUCUGUCCGGAAAUACUUGUCGGAGAAAUGAAUAAAAAUAAAUGAAUCUAGAAUUAAAAUACGUCUAGAUACAUCCAUUCCUCCGACAAGUAUUUCCGGGCGGAGGGAGUAUAUC